GACGAACGCUGGCAGUGUACCUUAAGCAUGCAAGUCGAACGGUGAAAUCUUUAGCCGCAAGGCUAGAGAUGGAGCAGUGGCAGACGGGUGAGGAUAGACAGGAAUCUACCUUUUUGUGGGGAAUAGCUGGCCGAAAGGCCAAUUAAUACCGCAUAAGUCCGCAAGGAGAAAGGCCUUAACCGGCCGCAGAAAGAUGAGCCUGUUCGCUAUCAGCUAGUUGGUGAGGUAAUGGCUCACCAAGGCUAUGACGGCUAGGGGGCGUGAGAGCGUGGCCCCCCACAAUGUUACUUAGAUACGGAGCAUACAUCUACGGAUGGCAGCAACUGGGAAUUUUGCACAAUGGACGAAAGUCUGAUGCAGUGACACUGCGUGCGGGAUGACGGCCCUCGGGUUGUAAACCGCUGUGAUAGGGAAAGAAAACCGACGGUACCCUAUUAGAAAGCACCUGCUAACCACGUGCCAGAAGCCUCGGUAAUACGUGGGGUGCAAGCGUUGUCCGGAUUUAUUGGGCGUAAAGAGUGCGUAGGCGGUCUUUUAAGUAUCGGGUUAAAGCCUGGGGCUCAACUCCAGAGAUGCUCGAUAAACUAAUUGACUAGUGGGUGUUUGGGGUUGUUAGAAUUCUUGGUGGAGGAGUGAAAUCCGUUGAUAUCAAGAAGAAUACCAAAAGCGAAGGCAGGCAACUAAAACAUUCCAGACGCUGAGUCACGAAAGCUAGGGGAGCGAAAGGGAUUAGAGACCCCUGUAGUCCUAGCCGUAAACAAUGAACACUAGCUAUUUCCCGUAAGGGGAGUGGCGUAAGCUAACGCGUUAAGUGUUCCGCCUGGGGAGUACGGCCGCAAGGCUAAAACUCAAAGGAAUUGACGGGGAAUCGCACAAUCAGCGUGCCAUGUGGUUUAAUUGGAUACGAAACCUUGAACCUUACCUGGGUUUGAAAUGUACCUGCUAAUCUCUGGAAACAGAGACUCCUUCGAGGGUGGUACACAGCUGCUGCAUGGUUGUCGUCAGUUCGUGUCGUGAGGCGUCGGCUUAAGUGCCGUAACGAACGCAACCCCUGCCCUAUGUUAAAUAUCCAUAGCAGACUGCCUCGGUUUUUUCCGGGGAGGAAGGAGGGGAUGAUGUCAAAUCAGCAUGGCGCUUAUAUCCAGGGCUACACACAUGGCGUAAUGGGUGGGACAACGGGAUGCCAAGCCGCGAGGCGGAGCUAAUCCUUAGAAACCCAUCCUCAGUUCGGAUUGCAGGCUGCAAUUCGCCUGCAUGAAGGGGAGUUGAUAGUAAUCGCAGAUCAGCAACACUGCGGUGAAUACGUUCUCGAUUCUUGUACACACUGCCCGUCAAGUCAACAAAGUUAGUAGUGCCCGAAGUUGGUACCCAUAACCGCAAGGAAUGGGCCACCUAAGGUAAGACUAGCGAUGGGGGC
rnacentral:rRNA from 1 species